UUUUUUUAGUAUACAUAUGUCCCAUGCAAUAUUUGGGACAUAAUUAUACUAAACAAAGUAUUUAUUGUUUAAUGGAACAUAUUUAUAUUUAAAAGUUAUUUGUUAUUUAU
rnacentral:miRNA from 1 species